rnacentral:tRNA from 1 species
GUUGUCGAUGGACGACGGGUCGAGGUACCGGCUCUGCUCACGCCGGUGCGUGAUCUGGGUCGGCUCGGCGCCGUCCAGCAGCAC